rnacentral:rRNA from 1 species
CAGCAGCCGCGGGAAUACAUAGGUGGCAAGCGUUGUCCGGAAUUAUUGGGCGUAAAGGGCUCGCAGGCGGUUUCUUAAGUCUGAUGUGAGAGCCCCCGGCUCAACCGGGGAGGGUCGUUGGAAACUGGGAAACUUGAGUGCAGAAGAGGAGAGUGGAAUUCCACGUGUAGCGGUGAAAUGCGUAGAGAUGUGGAGGAACACCAGUGGCGAAGGCGACUCUCUGGUCUGUAACUGACGCUGAGGAGCGAAAGCGUGGGGAGCGAACAGGAUUAGAUACCCCUGUAGUCCCUGUCUCUUAUAC